rnacentral:lncRNA from 1 species
GCGUUUGCGGCAGCUGCGGUGGUGGAGUGGCCGGUAGGAGCAGUUGUGUAUUGCUUUCGACACAUGAAGGGUCGCAAAAUCAUGGCUCAUCCUGCCACUGUCGUAUAUCCUAAAGUCACAAAUGCCAUCCCCAUCUAAAAUGUGUUCUUUCUACUUCUAAUAAUUAACUAUUCCAUUUAGUGUUAUAUAAUAUAUAGUUUUUAUGUAUCAAGCUACCAGCAUCAUAAUGUGUGUGAAUACAUAUAACACUAAGCGAGUUGUUAAGUUUGCUGUUGAAUACUUUGUAAAAGAAUAUUAUUGUUGAAUACUUUGUAAAAAAAUAUUAUUGUUGAAUAUCAAUAUCUUUUUUUUAUGAAAACAUAACAAUAUCUUCUUAGUUUUUCGAAAAAAUACAAUUUCAUUAAUAAUUAAACGAGACAGCCACACUCACAUACUAAUCGUAUUACAAAUUGACAUCAAGUAAAUUAUUUGGUACCGAUGAAAAAAAGUUGGAUGGAGGCACCCAUAAAAUAAAAGAGAAAAAGGGAUUUCACAAAAAAAUAUUGUAUUCUGUCAUUUCAAAUUUCAUCCUACUUUUACACUAUCAGUUAAAAAAAAAAUAUAUAUAUAUUCGCUUAUUUCACACAAUUUCAUUCUUAUGACAAAAUAAAUCCUACUUUUACACUAUCAGUUAAAAAAUAUAUAUAUUCUGUUAUUUCACAUAAUAUCUUAUUGAAAAGUCGAUGUCAAUGUAAAACUCAAAAUAAAAUAUAUAAAUACAGAAUUUAAAUUAUUUCAAAAAUAAAUAAAUAUAAAAAUAAUGUGACUCGAAACUAUGUACAAUGUUCGUAAGAAAUAAGAAAUUGGUAUAUGAAGAAAAGUAAUAUAAUAUAUUACUUUUUCGAUUAAUAAUCAAAUGGAUAAUUAAUAUUAUAUACAUAUAACUUCAUCAUACAUAUAUAUAUAUAUAUAUAUAUAUCACCUUACCAAACUCUUCAUAUAAGCCAAAAUGUGAAAGAGGCACAAGAAUUGAAAUUGCAAGAUGAACUAAGGUUCUUCAGAUCCAAACAUUCAAUCUCAUCUUCCUUUAAUCCCAUCCAUAAUUCAUGAGCUUUUUUUGUUUUCUUCUGCAGUAACUCUGACUUAAAAAAGUUUCCAUUUUCCUUAAAUUGGCCUCUUUUGUUUUAUGUGUUUUCCUUAGCUUUAACCUUUUUUGUGUGUUUGGACUUGUGGGUUGUGUUUGAUGUGUAAUUGGGUUGUUAUUUGGGUUUGUGUUGAAGAAGAACAAGAUGAAAUAGGUGUGAGGAAGAAGAAGAACAAACAUUUAUUUAUUUAUUUUGUGAUAAAUAUGAAAGGUGUUCUAAUGUGAAUAUAUGAGUUUCAAGUUUAUGAAUGUCUAAAAAUAUAUAGAAGAAUAGGUUUUGAGAAGUAACUUUUUGGGUUUCAAGUUUAUGAACUAAUGAGGAUUUGAGUUUUUUUUUACCCAAGGAUUUGUGAGUCUUAGGUAAAGAUCAAC